CUGGUAUGCAAAUUUUUAGCGGAGUAGGCGGGGUUGAAGUGAGAGGCAAGGCAGCGGUUGUGUUUGAUCUUGUAUCGUGCCACGAAGAGACAGAGCAGUGAGUGGCGCUGUGUGGCGAGCCGGCUGUGUGGGCCGGUCUUCCUGGAGCAGCUGUGUGGCAGUGGUUUGUCAGUUGACGAGCAGAUGUCCAGAAAUAAUGGCUGAGUGCAGAGUGAAUAAAUGCUACUAUUCUGGUGCGUUGAUGAAGAAAGUUCAUCUAGAGGACAAGCAAGGAAGACCACUGGAUGAAGUAAAAGACUGUUGGUUGGACUGUCAUGAUGCUAAAAGGACAAUAGAUGGUAGAAGAGACCAUGGAAUAGAAGACUGAAAACCUCAUAAAUCACUAUCGGAGCCUGUAUAUGUUAAUUGUCUCAUGUGUAAUUCAUGAAUAUGUACCAUCUGUGGAAAUAUAAUGAACUCUGAAUCAUGUAAUCUUUGAAGUGCUUAUGGUGGAAAUAGCCCCCGCGCUUCCUGGUGCCUCUAAUAAAGAAUACUUGACUUAACAGUAACAAAAUUUUGCUGUUAAGUUUCUUCGAUUCACACUCAACUCACAUACUAAACAGCAUGGAAGUUUCAGUUUCCUUCCAAUCCUUGGAUUGCAAGACACAAUACUUUCAGAGUUCAUACUUUACUAGCUUCCAUUCACUCAACACUAGAUACUCUGAACUAUUCACUCCCUCUUUGUUCCUAAGAGGCUUCAAAUUCUAGUCCUCUCCUGACUUAAUACAUCUCCAUAUCUUUGCACAUAUUCUCUGGCUUUAGCCCUUUAUCUCAGCCACAUCCUUCUUCUGUCCUGCCCAAAUGGCUCACUGUUUACCAACCCAUUCAAGCAACUCCUGUGGAAUCUCAGUGACAUUUAAGUAGGAAUGGAUCUCUGUGAGUCAUCUUUUACUGUUUUUUUUUAGUACACUUCUGAUUUUAGUGAAAAAGAGGGUGGGAAAGAAAUGAGCUCCAAGAAGCACCUUUUAAAAUAUCCUUUAUUUGUGUAUCAUCCUAUUAAAAAAACUUUUAUAUAAAGGCAAAAAAGGUAUUGCAUAGAAGAAACACUGGUGCAAACAUCACCUGGUGGGAAUGGUAUGUUGUUUCUUUGUGUCUACUAUCUACUGCACAACAGACCGCUGGCUAGUCUGCAGGUAAACAUCUCCAUGUUUCCCCACAUAGGCUACAAGAUGAAGCUGUUCAACCCUACAGAAGUAAGUUACAUCAGAAUGUGUGCUCUAUUCCAUGCUGCUCCCAAAAAAUAUCAGCUAGGAAAAUACCCUUUCCUUUAUUGUCUUUUAUAUACUUGACCAAAAUACUUUCCAAAAAAGACCACAAGGAGCAAUUCUGCUGUCUUCUGCUUGCACUUCCCCUGUGUAUGUUUGUAGUCCACGUAUAUUAAUAGUAAUGGAGACAGUGAGGAGGGACACAGGUAAGAGAGUUGGCAUAACUUGACCAUAGUCCAAGAACUCAAUGCAUAGCAUAGACAACUAAUCUGUUAUCAUUGAUAAAUUUAUGCCAUUGUUUGUAACAUCUCACAUGCUACAUCUCACAUGCUAUGUGCAGAGAGUGUGCUCUUUUCAGUGCCCUCCACUUGCAAUUCCUAUAACUAAAAACCUUGGUACCACCAAGAGGGAACAUAAUUCACUGCUUUCACUUCCACAGUUUUCAAGCAGUUUUCCCAAUAUGUCUCUGCUAAGUGCUGAUGCAGCUUCCAAAUAUAAAGCACAGUGAGACAGCAGAUACACUACAAUCUGAAGAAAUAUUCAAAGAAACAGCAUUUUCACACAGUUGAACUGUGCUUUCAUGAAUUAGAGAUGCGGAGAGGUAUGUAUUGAUACAAAUCAAUAUUUGUGUAUACUAAAUGUAUUUUUACUGAAUUAUCACUUUUUUUAAUUUAAAAACAUGCUAAAACCUUGCAGCUAAAUAACUAAAAUGAUGUCUGGGGAAAAUGCAUAGACAGCCACCCAUCAACAUAAGAAAGAAAAGUGCAUAUAUAUAUGAGACCAAACAGUUACGAGACAGUCAGUGCUUUCCCUGACAAACUUACUGAUGCAGCCUCAGUUUCCAAGGCUGUUUCUGCUGCCUAGAAAAUGGCAUUACUUUUAUUCUCUUUUCAGGAUAUCUGUCUUCUCCCACAUCAGUGAGUCAGCUAAUGACAAAAACCAGCCCUGCUCUUGACUACCUUACUGUAGAGUGGCUUCACAAAGAUGAAUACACAAAGCUUAUGUAACUACUUCAAUUAAUAUUGUGUUUAGAAUAAUAAAAGUAAUCUUCAGAUUAGGAUCUAUGCUACUUACUAUUAGAUUGCAAAACGGAAUGAAGCAUUCUAAAAUAAGUUUAGACGGAAGGCAAAAUAGUCAAAUUUGCAACUACGCAUUUCUCCUCUGUUUUACUCAUAAACUUUAAUUUUUUUUUUUUACUUUCUUAUUAUUUUCACUUUUUUUUUUUCUUUUUUUUUUUCUUUUUUGUAUAAAAGCUGUAUGUAGAUUGAAAUUUAAGGUGUAGCAGGUAUCACUGUGCAACCCAAGAGGACAGAUGUGAUGUGAUGCGCCUUGUUCUUCUUGAACCCCAGAGAAAAUUAAAGAAAGCAAAGCACCUUUGCCCAAAGGGAGAAUGCAAUAGAGCCAUUAGAUGAAAAUUGUUCUGUCUUUUCUUGUAGAAAUAGCAAUACAUUUUACUAAUUUUGUAUAUAGUCUUACAUGUAGCAGCAAGUACACUGGGCAUCAGAGCCCCUUCAUCGAUGAGCAACAUCUCCAAUAAGGCUCAGAUGUUCUUGGUCCCAAUUUUUGUUAGAAAUGGAAUUAAAACUGGAUUCAGUUUCUGUGCUUUCCUUCUACUCCUUCCCUGGAUUUCAAAGGCAAUGCAAAUUAAAUAGGUGAGCCCAUACAGCAUUUUUCAGUAGGAAACAAGAGAUUUGUGAAACUUCAGGCAUCAUGCUCUUGUGGACAAAGGCCAUGCUUUAAGAUUAGUAACUGCCUUCAUCACUGUAAUAUCCAAAAUCCAAAUUCAUCUCUCUGUCCCAUGCAUUCACACUCUUUCCAUCAUACUGAUCUCAAAGGAACGUCAAAAAGUGACAAAGUCCACACAAAAUGCUAUUGCUGUCCGAUUUACAAAUGCAAACAGAACCUACUAUGAAGAUAAACAGGGUACUCAUACUUCCCAGAUAGGAAGCGGCCCAACUGUUAUUUCAGCUCAUCAUGAAAAGAUUGGCUGAAUUAUACAAUGAAACCAAUAUAUUUUAAGAGUUUAAAGCAUAAAUAUUCAGACUGGACAUUAGGAGAAAUGUAUUUACCACAGGAGUAGUUUGACAUGGCAUGGCUCUGAAUGGGAUAUCACAGAAGCAUAAAAUCUCCAUCCUUAGCAGUUUCUGUUAUUCAGUCUAAUAACAUCAUAGUGAGUUCCACCUCACAUAGGUCACAGCUCUCUUCUGAGAGUGACAUUGGAUGAGGUAACCUAAAAAGAUCCCCUCUAACUGCCGCUAAUAUAAGCAGUAGAAUUCCUUUCAGAGCUGAGUUGAGCCCUGACUGGAGCUAAAACACAACAUCCUCCAAUGGCCUUUUCUUCUUCCUUCACAAAACUGUAAAACUUAGGAGAGAUCUCUUAAAAAAAAAAAAAAAAAAAAAAAAA